UCCAGACUCCUACGGGAGGCAGCAGUGGGGGAUAUUGCACAAUGGGGGGAACCCUGAUGCAGCGACGCCGCGUGGGUGAAGGAGCGUUUCGGCGCGUAAAGCCCUAUCGGCAGGGAAGAAGGAGGACGGUACCUGACUAAGAAGCCCCGGCUAACUACGUGCCAGCAGCCGCGGUAAUACGUAGGGGGCAAGCGUUAUCCGGAUUUACUGGGUGUAAAGGGGGCGCAGACGGCAGCGCAAGCCAGGAGUGAAAGCCCGGGGCCCAACCCCGGGACUGCUCUUGGAACUGCGCGGCUGGAGUGCAGGAGGGGCAGGCGGAAUUCCUGGUGUAGCGGUGAAAUGCGUAGAUAUCAGGAGGAACACCGGUGGCGAAGGCGGCCUGCUGGACUGCGACUGACGUUGAGGCCCGAAAGCGUGGGGAGCAAACAGGAUUAGAUACCCCAGUACG
rnacentral:rRNA from 1 species